rnacentral:tRNA from 1 species
GGUUCUAUGGUGUAACGGUAGCACAAGAGAUUUUGGUUCUCUUAGAGAUUGUUCGAUUCAGUCUAGAACUA